rnacentral:lncRNA from 1 species
GUUUGUCCGUCCGUUCGUUCGUCCGUUCGUUCGUUCGUCCGUCUGUCCCGCUUCAGGUUAAAGUUUUUGGUCGAGGUAGUUUUUGAUGAAGUUGAAGUCCAAUCGACUUCAGACUUGGUACACAUGUUCCCUAUGAUAUGAUCUUUCUAAUUUUAAUGCCAAAUUAGAGAUUUUACCCCAAUUUCACGGUCCACUGAACAUAGAAAAUGAUAGUGCGAGUGGGGCAUUCGUGUACUGAGGACACAUUCUUGUUUAGUAU